AGUUUCCUGAAUCCGUGCCAAGAUUUCAUCAAACAUCAACCCUUGAAGGUUGACGAGACUCAGGAUAAAUGAAGCG
rnacentral:pre_miRNA from 1 species